AUACUGGGCCCGGCAGGGAAAAAAGGUGCCAGGGGGGAUGUUGGUCCAGUCGGGGCCGCGGGACCCAUGGGAAUGAAAGGGGAACAAGGAGACAAAGGGGAAAAGGUGGGAAAUGAUGGUAGAAUGUAGUUUCUUCUUUUAGCGUGUAGCAUUUUAGCAGGAAUGUGAGAAUCUUUUGGGUCUUGAUGAUUUCUUGCACAGGGAAGCCCUGGUUUUGGAAUUCCAGGACAACGGGGACCGAAAGGAGAAAAUGGAGAGAGGGUGAAAAACCAUUUAACACUUAUAAUUGAGAAGCAUAAAUCUGUUUUUUGUUUUUUUUAAUGUUGUUUCUUUUUGUAAUUCACAGGGAAAUGUUGGCCUGUCAGGAAAACCAGGACCAAAAGUAAGAAAAAAAUACCUAAAAAAUUAUAUUUAUUGGAGCCUGCGCUGUAUCUUCUCCUUAACUAACACAGAUGUGUGUCCAGGGUCAGGAAGGCUCAAAAGGUGACAAAGGGAGUCCUGGCUCACCGGGAAAUCCUGGAGAACCAGGAUUAAGAGGUAAAGAUGUAAGUAACGUUGCAGCCAUGUUUUGAUUUUAAGGCAAAACCCAAGUGUGUUUUCUUUUUAAGGGAUUAUUCAAAGAGCCAAAUAAAGCUUGUGGUAUUCUUUAAGCACAUAAAACAAACUUCUAUUUCCACUUUCAGAUGCAUUUUGCAUAUAUUCAUCAUGUUAGAGGUGAUUACUGUUGACACUGUUUGCAGGGAAUGUCUGGAAUUAAAGGAGACCAAGGAAUUAAGGUAAAUUAUUGAUGUUAACUUUAUCUUAUUGGGCUCAGGAAAGAUUAUUAUAUGGCAUACAGUCUUAUGUUCAAACAUUAAUUGAUCAUAAUGAUCUACAGGGUGAACAAGGACCAUCCGGAGAGGCUGGCGAAAGAGGCAUCAGGGGUCUCCUAGGAUUACCGGGGGACCCUGGAGAGAAGGGUAAUCUUGGAAAGACUGGCCCACAAGUAGGUUAUUUAAAAUGCAUAAUGGAAACGAUGACAAAAAAAGCAAGUGUUAUUAUCAUUAUGUAACAUUUAAGCCUAAACUUGAACUUUUUUUUUUUCUCGGCAGGGAGCUGAUGGAAAGAAAGGUGACAAAGGAGAGCCGGU
rnacentral:lncRNA from 1 species